rnacentral:rRNA from 1 species
UACAGAGGGUGCAAGCGUUAAUCGGAAUUACUGGGCGUAAAGGGUGUGUAGGUGGUUGGAUAAGUUAGAUGUGAAAUCCCCGGGCUUAACCUGGGAACUGCGUUUAAAACUGUUUAACUAGAGUGCUGUAGAGGAUAGUGGAAUUUCCAGUGUAGCGGUGAAAUGCGUAGAUAUUGGAAGGAACACCAGUGGCGAAGGCGACUAUCUGGACAGACACUGACACUGAGACACGAAAGCAUGGGGAGCAAACAGG